AUUCCUUGAAGUCAAACUGAUUAAUAAAUCAUUGCCGAAAAUUUUGGGAUCAUUUCAGUGACUUCUGUACCAAUUAAAGUAAUUACCGUGUUUGAUUGUUACUUUAAUAUUCCUUUUUGGGAUUAUUUGGAAUCACGUCACCAACACAAUCAUGCAAAACUGUUUAGGCGAACCAAUUCAUCACAUAUAAAUAGGUUCCUAAUAAUCUUUGAGUGGAAACCCUCAAGAUCACCGAGGGUUCUUUUUCUGGACUCACUCAAUUUAACUAAGACGCAGACGUCACGUCAUUAGUUUGGGGCGUAAU